AAAAAGUAUCGGUAGGGGAGCAUUCCAUCGGCGUAGAAUGCAGUAGGUGACUACUGCUGGAGCCUAUGGAAAAGCAAAUGUAGGUAUAAGUAACGAUUAGGAGGGCGAGAACCCCUCCCGCCGAACGACUAAGGUUUCCCAGGCAAUGCCAUUCAUCCUGGGGUCAGUCGGGUCCUAAGGCUAAGCCGAGCGGCGAGGCCGAUGGCAGACACGGUCAACAUUCCGUGACUACCGCCAUCAGUGAUGUCCUGACGGAGCAGUGACACCUCCGCGCCCUGACGGAAUAGGGCGUUGAAGGGCGUAGGCUAUGAUGAUGCCAGGCAAAUCCGGCAUCAGAGCUGAAACCUGAAAGUACGGGGUCCCCUUCGGGGGAACCUGAGAGCGAGGGUAAGCAUACUCCCGAGAAAAUGGGCUAAACUCAUGUUGGCGGUACCCGUACCGCAAACCGACACAGGUAGUUGGGUAGAACAUACUAAGGCGUUGAGAGAUUCAUGGCUAAGGAACUAGGCAAACUGACCCCGUAACUUCGGGAUAAGGGGUCCUCACCUCCGGGUGAGGCGCAGAGAAUAGGUCCAGGCAACUGUUUAACAAAAACACAGGGCUGUGCGAACUCGAAAGAUGAAGUAUACAGCCUGACACCUGCCCGGUGCCGGAUGGUUAAGAGGAGAUGUCACCGCAAGGGAAGCAUUGAAUUGAAGCCCCGGUAAACGGCGGCCGUAACGAUAACGGUCCUAAGGUAGCGAAAUUCCUUGUCGGGUAAGUUCCGACCUGCACGAAUGGUGUAAUGAUCCGGACGCUGUCUCGGCCAUGAGCUCAGUGAAAUUGUAGUAUCGGUGAAGAUGCCGAUUACCCGCGAUGGGACGAAAAGACCCCGUGAACCUUUACUACAGCUUAGCAUUGACCUUGGUCAUCCGAUGUGUAGGAUAGGCCGGAGGCUUCGAAGCGGCGUCGCCAGGCGUUGUGGAGCCAUCCUUGAAAUACGGCCCUUUGGCUGUCUGAGGUCUAACGCGGAUAGUCGCGGACACUGCUUGGUGGGUAGUUCGACUGGGGUGGUCGCCUCCAAAAGCGUAACGGAGGCUUCCAAAGGUGCCCUCGGGCCGUUUGGUAAGCGGCCUUCAAGAGUGCAAUGGCAAAAGGGCGCUUGACUGGGAGGGAGACAUCCCGAGCAGGCAGGAAACUGGGGCAUAGUGAUCCGGCGGAUGUGUAUGGAAACUCCGUCGCUCAAAGGAUAAAAGGUACUCCGGGGAUAACAGGCUGAUCCCCCCCAAGAGCUCAUAUCGACGGGGUGGUUUGGCACCUCGAUGUCGGCUCGUCACAUCCUGGGGCUGGAGAAGGUCCCAAGGGUUGGGCUGUUCGCCCAUUAAAGUGGCACGCGAGCUGGGUUCAGAACGUCGUGAGACAGUUCGGUCUCUAUCUAUCGUGGGCGCAGGAGUCUUGAGUGGUGCUGUCACUAGUACGAGAGGACCGUGACGGACAGACCUCCGGUGUACCGGUUGUGCCGCCAGGCGCACCGCCGGGUAUCCGCGUCUGGAUCGGAUAAGCGCUGAAAGCAUCUAAGUGCGAAGCUUUCCACGAGAUUAGAACUCCAUUGAGGGUCGUCGCAGACGACGACGUUGAUAGGGCGCAGGUGUAAAGGCGGCGACGUCAAAGCCGAGCGCUACUAAUUGCCC
rnacentral:rRNA from 1 species